UACGUAGGGGGCUAGCGUUGUCCGGAAUCAUUGGGCGUAAAGCGCGUGUAGGCGGUUCGGUAGGUCCGCUGUGAAAGUCGGGGGCUCAACCCUCGGAUGCCGGUGGAUACUGUCGGACUAGAGUACGGAAGAGGCGAGUGGAAUUCCUGGUGUAGCGGUGAAAUGCGCAGAUAUCAGGAGGAACACCGAUUGCGAAGGCAGCUCGCUGGGACGUUACUGACGCUGAGACGCGAAAGCGUGGGGAGCAAACAGG
rnacentral:rRNA from 1 species